rnacentral:rRNA from 1 species
UACGUAGGGGGCAAGCGUUGUUCGGAAUUACUGGGCGUAAAGGGCGCGUAGGCGGCCAGAUAAGUCCGGUGUGAAAGUCACAGGCUCAACCUGUGAAUGCCGCUGGAAACUGUAUGGCUAGAGUCCGGAAGGGGCGAGUGGAAUUCCUGGGUGUAGCGGUGAAAUGCGCAGAUAUCAGGAAGAACACCCGUGGCGAAGGCGGCUCUCUGGGACGGUACUGACGCUGAGACGCGAAAGCGUGGGGAGCGAACAGG